rnacentral:rRNA from 1 species
GACGAACGCUGGCGGCGUGCUUAACACAUGCCAGUCGAACGGAAAGGCCCUGCUUUUGUGGGGUGCUCGAGUGGCGAACGGGUGAGUAACACGUGAGUAACCUGCCCUUGACUUUGGGAUAACUUCAGGAAACUGGGGCUAAUACCGGAUAGGAGCUCCUGCUGCAUGGUGGGGGUUGGAAAGUUUCGGCGGUUGGGGAUGGACUCGCGGCUUAUCAGCUUGUUGGUGGGGUAGUGGCUUACCAAGGCUUUGACGGGUAGCCGGCCUGAGAGGGUGACCGGCCACAUUGGGACUGAGAUACGGCCCAGACUCCUACGGGAGGCAGCAGUGGGGAAUAUUGCACAAUGGGCGGAAGCCUGAUGCAGCAGCGCCGCGUGCGGGAUGACGGCCUUCGGGUUGUAAACCGCUUUCGCCUGUGACGAAGCGUGAGUGACGGUAAUGGGUAAAGAAGCACCGGCUAACUACGUG